rnacentral:lncRNA from 1 species
UUUAUGAUAUGGUGGUAAAUAUCAUAUAAUAAUUUUGCAGUAAAAACUGCUUCUAAAAGGCAAGUGACUCUAGAACAACCAUGUCUUUCAACUAUCUUCUCGCCACGAAAUUUGCAUAAAUGAAGUAAUCAGAAAAAUGUUUUUAGCGGAUAUAGGAAGAUGUGGUAUCAGUGCGAAGGACACAACUCUCAAUCUAAAUCACAAUUUGUAAAAGUAUUCCAUUAUAGGUCAAGGUAUGGUCUUCAACACGGAGCCUAGGUUCACACCGAACAUCAAGAUAUAAAGAGCUUUAAAAAUUACUAAUGUAAAACCAUUCAAACAGUUAAACCAAACGGUCUAAUCUAUAUGAAAAAAAUUAGGAAACACAUAAACAGACGACAACCAUUGAACAUCAGUUUCCUGACAUAGGACAGAUGCAAACAAUCGCAGCGGAAUUAAACGUUUCAAUGAUACCAAACAUUCUCCCUUUUCUAAAACAAUAGUAUAAC